rnacentral:piRNA from 1 species
UCCGAGCUGACGGAAGCCUGUGACUGGU